GCGUGCCUGUUGACUAUGAAGAGCCAUCAUCAAUGGAUCUCUGAUAACAUGAUCAAACAUGGACCAAAAGCGUAGAUCUACUUACUUUUCCCCCACGGAAUUGGAAAUUCUAAUGAACGCGUAUGCCGAGCAGUUACCCAUUUUAACAAAUGGGUAACUGCUCCCGCGGCAGCGAGAGCGUGAGAGAGAGCUCGGCAGGAAAUAGCUGAACAAGUCAAUGCGAACAACCCGAGUUGCCCCAAGAGGACUUGGCAGCAAAUGAAGAUGAAGUACAAAAAUAUAGUUCAAACAGCAAAUCGAAAAAAAGCAGAGCCCCGGCAGACUGGAGGAGGUCCACCUCUGCAGCCCUCACAGAGACUGAGGAGAUGGCCUUCAGCUAUCAGAGUAUGGGUCCUGUGGCUGAGGGCAUCCCUGGGGGGAGCUCCUCUGAUCCCCCCCACCCCCCAGGAUAGAAGUGCCUUUAUAAGAGUUACUGAUGGCGUCAUCGCCCCACUUGAACCAGAUGCCCUCACCAACCUCCAUGCAAUUGUAACAAUUCUUCACCUUCCACAGAUUAUUAAUAAUGUCUUGGUAAUUGCUGAACACAACCGUUAAUAUCAUUACAGGAAGAUGAUGGAGAACAUUGUCUGCGGCAUUCGAAAGGGAAGAGGAAAGGCCUAUUGAGGAUGAAAUCGAAUCCAAUGAGAGGCCAUCCACUUCUAAAUCACAGCUUACCUCUGUAAGAUUCUCCCUGGAAUUAUAAUGAAACGCUCUACUUGGCACUGUGAAAUCCAAUCUCAUCUUUUGCAUUCCUAUAGCUUCCAGUCAAAGACUUAUAUAAAAUCUAUCUAGAAAAGCAAAUACACAAAGCAGACUUGGAAAUGGACCGCCUUAGGC
ensembl:lncRNA